UGGGGAGGGGCGCUCGGCUCGAAUGGCGACAGCGGCGGCAGAGUCAGGAGAUACAAGGAGAAGUAAUGCCUGGAUGUGAGAAAGAAAAAGAACUUCACAAAGGAUACCAGCUGAAGCUUAAGACAUAUUUCACAGGGGGAGAAAGCAGCAACAAUGCAUGUGCCAGUGAAUUCCACUCUUGCAAUCAAUAGGUUGCAUUGCUCUUGCCUCCAGAAUUCCCAAUUGAUCCUCAUUUUUCAGCUUGACUCUCAGCUUUGCUUAAGAAUUCUGUUUAAAUUCACUUUGGAUCUUCCUGCUCCUUGCUGCCCCAUCCCAGUUCAGUCCUUAGAACUUAAAUCCUGACAGUGAUAUACUUGGCUGAUGCUUCAACCAGGACCACCAGGUUUAGUCAUAAGCGUGAAAGGAAGCAAGUUACACUGCGCCAUCUUAUCCACAUGGAUUUCAUGAAAGGGCCCGAUAACUUAUUAAAAUCCAUCCUCUCUUCUCCGGACUCUUAAUAUUGAGAACUGAAACCAUUUACUCCUACACAGCUUACUAUCUACGUUAACAUGACUUUAAUUUCAAUUGUCUUCACAUCCCAAGACUUUGUGCUCCUGGCUUCAAAACGACCUCUUUUCUUUUUUCACCAAUCCUAAUAUUCUAUCAUAGCCCUUACCCUAUCCUAAUUAAGCCCUCUCUAUUGCACUCACCCCUGCUCUGACAGACCUGCCUUAAACUAGACUUCAAAAUCUGAAUAAAUCAAAUCUUGUUCAUUCUCCUCCAAGAAACUACC
rnacentral:lncRNA from 10 species